GACGAACGCUGGCGGCGUGCUUAACACAUGCAAGUCGAACGGGUCUGCCCUGUUUUUUGCGGGGUGGGUCAGUGGCGAACGGGUGAGUAACACGUGAGUAACCUGCCCCUCACUUCUGGAUAACCGCUUGAAAGGGUGGCUAAUACGGGGUGUUCUGGCUGUGCCGCAUGGUGUGGCUGGGAAAGAUUCACUUUUGUGGUGUUUUGGUGGGGGAUGGGCUCGCGGCCUAUCAGCUUGUUGGUGGGGUGAUGGCCUGCCAAGGCUUUGACGGGUAGCCGGCCUGAGAGGGUGGGCGGCCACACUGGGACUGAGAUACGGCCCAGACUCAUGCGGGAGGCAGCAGGGGGGGGUAUGGCACAAUGGGCGGAGGCCUGAUGCAGCGGCGUCGCGUGAGGGAUGGGGGCCGUCGGGUUGUGAACCUCUUUCGCCGGUGAAGAAGGUCCUGCUCUUUGUGGUGGGGUUGACGGUAGCCGGGUUAUGAAGCGCCGGCUAACUACGUG
rnacentral:rRNA from 1 species